UACGGAGGAUCCAAGCGUUAUCCGGAUUUAUUGGGUUUAAAGGGUGCGUAGGCGGAUUAUUAAGUCAGUGGUGAAAGCCUGCAGCUUAACUGCAGAAUUGCCGUUGAUACUGGUAAUCUUGAGUACAUUUGAAGCGGGCGGAAUGUGUCAUGUAGCGGUGAAAUGCUUAGAUAUGACACAGAACACCGAUUGCGAAGGCAGCUCGCUAAACUGUAACUGACGCUGAGGCACGAAAGCGUGGGGAGCAAACAGG
rnacentral:rRNA from 1 species